AAUAAAACGUCUGUGUGAUCUUGACUACUCUAUGGCGAUCAACGUUUGUGAGACGCUUCCAAAACACAGCAUGGCUAACAUCAAAAACACUAUCAAGCAAUGCUGUUCCGACCCGUUUAUACGAAAAUUAGUGCUCAGUUGGGGCCUUUUUCUAGGAGCCAUCUACAUUGCACGUGAUAUGUCGGCUGCAGAGGAUAUGGCAGCUGCAGAAAUGGCAGCAGCUGCAACAGCAGGGGUGGCUGAUCAGGCAGGAAAACUGGCAGGAGAGGUCUCCCGACUUGCUACAAACUGAUGUAUUUAACAAAACUACCAUCUCUAUCAGAUUCUGGAAAAUCUGAUUGGUCCCAGUGACUUUGGCAAAAUUCCAUUUGAAGAGUGUGCGAUUGUUACAGUGCAAGUGGCAAAUUAAACAUAAAUAGUGGAUGGCGACAAUGACAAUUUGUUAAGAGUACAUGUUUUAAAUGUUGUUGUGUAUUAAACUUGUGCGAGUGGCUGGAUACCAUAUCUAAAUACAAA